rnacentral:rRNA from 1 species
UACGUAGGUGGCAAGCGUUGUCCGGAAUUACUGGGCGUAAAGGGCGCGUAGGCGGCCUGCUAAGUCGAACGUGAAAUCCCCGGGCUCAACCCGGGAACUGCGUCCGAUACUGACAGGCUUGAAUCCGGGAGAGGGAUGUGGAAUUCCAGGUGUAGCGGUGAAAUGCGUAGAUAUCUGGAGGAACACCGGUGGCGAAGGCGGCGUUCUGGACUGCAACUGACACUGAGGAACGAAAGCCAGGGGAGCAAACGGG